rnacentral:lncRNA from 1 species
AAUUACUCCAACCCGGUGUAUGCAAAAUUGUAUAUGGAUGGGCAAAAUUGUCGAAAUUCCUUAGGAAGUGUUGAUGAAAGAAAAGAACUGCUUCCAAAGAAAAUAGAAAUUGGUAUAAGAGAGACAGUGGCAUAAUCAGUGAUACCUUUUAUAUGCUGUAUAAAUGUAUAAAAUAUAAGGAUUACUUUUGUAUGUUCCAACAGUAUUAUACUUGUUUUGGCAUCAGCAUUACCUCUUCCUUUAUCUUUUUCCUGGUUAAUUGUUUUCUGAGUUUUUUGGGUUUUAUUUUUUGCUGAUGACUAUUGAUUGACCAUUUGUAUGGUAUUUUUAUGAAAAAGAACUGCACUACAGUACAAUUUACAACAAUGCUGCUGAUGAAGACACACCUUUGAAUUUGUUAAAAAUUAAAAACAACAUAUUCCUUUGUAGUGUGAAUAUGAGCAAUCUAUUUUAUAUGAAAUUUUUGGGUUCUACUUAAUUAACAAAGAGAAACUCUGCACUUUUUCAUUAUAUGGUCUGAAAGCUGUAAUACAAUGUCAUUUUAUUUUUUUGUUAAAAUUGAUGGAAGAAUGAUUAAAUGGACAACUCUCUUCUUUGUGCCCAUGAAGAUUGAUUCAGAUACUGCUGAAAAUAUAUAACCCUCACAAGUUCAGUGUCACCUGCUUUGAAAUUAGCCUUAGAUUGCCAAGUGGUAGAUGAGGCAAAACUUGAAAAUAUAUAUAUAUAUAUAAUUAAUAAUUUGCAUGUAAACAGAUGAUUUACAUUUUCCAAAAUUUAGUGGACUCUGUGAUAUACUAAAUGCGAACACCCUGUACACAAUAGUUAUAUUUAGGUGGUAGAGCAUAAUAAAAAAAUAACCUGAAGUGGACAGAUCACACUUGCUAUGGGAUAAGACCUUUGGUUCUCCCUCAAUCCUGAGGUGAAUAGCCAGCCUAGAGCACAACAGGGCAUCGGGUACUCAUGUAUUAUGUGCUUCUUCCCAAUCAAUCACGUGCAUUUUGUGGAAGAUUGGCCCAACCCACCCUUUACCCCACUGAACAUUAUAGAAUAAUAGAUAAGCACACAAAUUGACAAGACAGAAUUUCAAUUAUGAGGAUGCAUUCUUUUGCUAAGUCAAAAGGAAGAGGUAAAACAGCCCUUUUGGUGUAGAGUAAUCGGUAAAUAUUUUCAAGAAACAGUAUGACUAAUCCCUUAUUUUCCCUACUGAAAAUAUAUUCUUCCGAGUUAUAGAACAAUUAUCUACCCAUUAUCAAAGGUGGAGAGUAUAAAUGCUAUUUGCUAUUUGCUCUGGUAAUCUGGGUUCUUUUUAGUUAUAUAAAACACAUGGACCCCAUUCACUUGUUUGUUUCUUUGUUCUCAAACUUUGAUUAAACAAGUACAAUUUAUUUAAGGUGUAUAAAAAAAGAUAGCAUUUUUAUACAAAUAUCUUUAAAGGCACAAAAGAUUUAUUCACAAGUUGUGGAGGGCUUUUUGUUCCUCUGAUAGACAUGACUGACUUUUAGCUGUCAUAAUGUAUUAACCUAACAGAUGAAAAAUAUGUUUGUGGUUGCUCUUUAUCCCUUUGUACAAGCAUUAAAAAAAACUGCUGUUUUAUAAGGAGAUUUUUGUUGUACUAUGUGCAUGCAUACUACCUAUUUCUAAACUUUGCCAUAUUGAGGCCUUUAUAAACUCUUGAUUUAUGUAAUACUAGUGCAAUUUUGCUUGAACAAUGUUAUGCAUAUCAUAAACUUUUUCAGGUUCUUGUUUAAGUACAUUUUUUAAAUUGAAC